rnacentral:rRNA from 1 species
ACGCUCGACACCUACGGGAGCAGCAGUGAGGAAUAUUGGUCAAUGGGCGCUAGCCUGAACCAGCCAAGUAGCGUGAAGGAUGAAGGCUCUAUGGGUCGUAAACUUCUUUAUAAUAAGAAUAAAGUGCAGUAUGUAUACUGUUUUGUAUGUAUUAUAUGAAUAAGGAUCGGCUAACUCCGUGCAAGCAGCCGCGGUAAUCUGAGCGGGCUGGCAAGGC